UACGUAGGGUGCGAGCGUUAAUCGGAAUUACUGGGCGUAAAGUGUGCGCAGGCGGCCAUGCAAGUCGAGUGUGAAAGCCCCGGGCUUAACUUGGGAAUUGCGCUGGAAACUACGUGGCUGGAGUGUGGCAGAGGAAGGUGGAAUUCCACGUGUAGCGGUGAAAUGCGUAGAGAUGUGGAGGAACACCAAUGGCGAAGGCAGCCUUCUGGGCCAACACUGACGCUCAUGCACGAAAGCGUGGGGAGCAAACAGG
rnacentral:rRNA from 1 species